CCUACGGGAGGCAGCAGUGAGGAAUAUUGGUCAAUGGGCGCGAGCCUGAACCAGCCAAGUCGCGUGAGGGAAGACGGUCCUAUGGAUUGUAAACCUCUUUUGUCGGGGAGCAAAAGACGCCACGCGUGGCGUUCCGAGAGUACCCGAAGAAAAAGCAUCGGCUAACUCCGUGCCAGCAGCCGCGGUAAGACGGAGGAUGCGAGCGUUAUCCGGAUUUGUUGGGUUUAAAGGGUGCGCAGGCGGAAGAUCAAGUCAGCGGUAAAAUUGAGAGGCUCAACCUCUUCGAGCCGUUGAAACUGGUUUUCUUGAGUGAGUGAGAAGUAUGCGGAAUGCGUGGUGUAGCGGUGAAAUGCAUAGAUAUCACGCAGAACUCCGAUUGCGAAGGCAGCAUACCGGCGCUCAACUGACGCUCAUGCACGAAAGUGUGGGUAUCGAACAGGAUUAGAUACCCGAGUAGUC
rnacentral:rRNA from 1 species